CUCACUCCCAACUCGUCAAAUGUGUGACGCAUGGUCAGGCUCCCUCUGCUUCACUUAUCGACGCGCAGGGUACCCCCCUCGCGUCGAGAAUUGACGUGCAGGGUCCUCCUAUUGAACACUAUGCUGCUCCCUAAUCGUUGUUUAUUGACGACAAGAGAUUGCCGCGGAAGAGCCUGUUGUCCGUAUAUUUAUACAUUUCCGAAAUCACAUUGUAGUGACGUGUACUAAACACAAUAUAUUAUAUAAUGUAAACAACUACCUGAGAAACAGCAGAUACAGCAGCUAAAUUAAUUAUAGGCCAUUACUUUUGUAUCGUUUAUUGCAUUUAUGGAGGGAGUGGUGCAUGCUGGGUAAUGGCACAGCUAGCGACCGGGUGACUUUAUUCACCCGCUUCGGCUGCUAUCGGUCCAUACAAUGGGCGUUAUUAGCAGAAAUCAGUCCCAUAGAUAUGGGCCAUCCACCUGCUAGAUUGUUCAGAAGGUUGUUAUCAUCCAUCCAGAUGGAGGAUCACUGACAGGAGCGUGGAAGACUCCAGAAUCCACUCUGGCUGGAAUCCGGUGCAGUGUUACAGAACAGUUCUCCACAGUCGCUGUCCACAUGGGUCAGUGGGACCAAGCAGCACUCUGCUAAUGUGUGGACUCUGACCAGCAACAUCCAGCAAGACCCAGGCAGUGUUUUCUAUCUCCCAGCUGGAGUUUUUUGUUUGUCUGUGACUGGAGAGUCAGAUUUUUGUUGAAGCUGGAGGAACAGCCUCACACUUGCAGAGUGACUGCUGCUUAGACCACAGGUUAAUACACGCUACUGAUCCCUGAUGGGAGAAUCAUCACCUCUGCCAACAAAGAAGCCUGGUGGAUAUUUGUUUACAGACUGAUGAUGGGACAUCAUGCUCUGCAUAUUCAAAGUUUGUCUCUUGAUUAUUAUUCGUACACAGUAAUGUGAAUUAUGCUUAUAUCUAGUAUAACUGGACCAACCUGGUGCUCUUCAUUUCUGGAGGCUGUUGAGUCUGAAUGUUGGAUGUUGUGUAUCUCGUGUUCUCUGGGCUUUGUUGUCCUCAGUCUUUUUGCAGGAUCAGAAAACAAAACCAGGAUGACCGUAAAUGUUUCUUCUCCAAUUGGAUGAUGAUAAGACCGUGACACGGUAUGCCACCUUUAGUCUUGUGAUGAAGCAAAGCUCAGGAAGAAGUGUGAUUAAAUGGUACCCACAUGUGUGCUGCUGAGAAGGAUGUACAGGGGUAUCUGCAGCCAAAUCCAAGCCUCCUCAGAGCAGAGCAGCAGUUUGUGCUCACAGAUGGAGACGGUGUGGAGAGACGGUGGUGUUUCCUCAGAAGAACUAGCAGAGUCACCAAGGGCACGAGUCCAUCUCACCACCUUGACUUGCUGACUGAUGCUCGUCUGCACUGCACAGAGGAAAUCAACUGACCGAGGAGUGUUUCUGAGUGAGGGAGAGAGGAGUCAUCAUCCAGGUGAAGUGACGUGGAUCAGUGGAUACACUUGUCUCCCCUUUAAAGGAGACACUCUUAGAGAGAGACGAUCCGAGACAUCCCUAAAUAUGAGCAGGAUAUCAGUCUUGGACUGUGUAACCUGCAGGAGCAGCACUGAAUGAUCACCACACAUGAGCAUGUUCCUGCAACAUUCAGCAGCUUUGCUUUUGUGUCAAAUGUCAAACAGCUGGAGAGGAAACUAAACCAGUACUGGGAUGUUUCACCAACACGUGCCAGAUGCUGUUCCUUCAUGGUUUCAUCACCAGAGACAGCCCCGCCCACCUCAGGACCUCGCCAUUGAUCAUGAUGAUUAUAAUAAUGACAGCGAGCAGAACUAAGACUGUAAAAAUCCACGACCAGAAUGUUUAGAUGCUUUCUAAUUAUUAAUGAAUACUGAGAGCCUCUUUCUGUGUUUUGGGGUUUUUUUUUUACCUCAUUUGUUACUAACAAAGUUCAUCAAACUCACACAGUUUACAUUUUGUAUGUUUCCAUCUUUACCAGCCACACUCUACCUGCAAUUAGAAAACAAACCUUAGAAAUCGUCGUUUUUCUCUUUUGUAAUUGAUGAUAAUUCAGUGAAUAUACUGCGCUGCUUCCUUUUAUUGCGUCACACAUUGCUUUAAGUUUUUCAGUGUCCAGUUAUUUUUUACUGCUGUUUGAAUUCACUGUAUGUUUGACCUUGUAGACUGUUUGAUGGACUGCUUGUCUUCCUGUUUGUAACCGCCGCCUGUUUUUGACUAAAGAUUUGGAUUCUGACUUUAA